GUUCGUACGAGGCUCGCGGCGCAGCUUUGAUUCUCGGUAGUCAAUAGACAUGUUACAACCGCGAUUUUGACGGGCCCCAGUUUUGAACGUCGCGUCGGCUGAACGUUGUUUUCUCGGCACAAAUCGACUUCAAAUAUAUUGGAUGGCAGGAAAUGGAAUAUGCAUAAGAGGAGUCGGGAUGGUUUCCAGCUAGAUUGAAGAGCCUCUCAUUCAGCAGUGCUGUCAUCUGUCAUAAAUAAUGCAGGACCCACCUGUACAACCCCGACCAUAGAAUGCAGAGACACGAUCAUUACACUUAGUGGAAUUGAACAGCAAGCAUGGGUUGUCGAAAUAAUAAACAUAGAAUUUCCAUGAUGGAAGAAGAUACAAAGAAAUCAAGAGAAGUGUGGGAGACAAUACGAUUUCAUUGGUUGUAAAUACAGAUGGUGCACCUCUAUUUAAGUCAUCAAAGUCAUCAAUGUGGCCUCUAAUGUGUUCUGUCUCAGAAUUGCCACCCAAGUACAGGUAGUUGCAUAGUGUGAUUUGUGACAGAAACAUGGCCAGUAUGUGCAUAAACAGGUAUAAUGUUGACAACAUGACAUUUGCAGCUAUUUGGAGUGGCUGCAGCAAGCCCAUUAUGAAAAUUUUUGUAGAAGUCGUUUGUCGAAGAACUGCAACAACUUUCU